rnacentral:miRNA from 1 species
AUGCAAAUCACUUGGCAUCUUCUUAAGAUGCAGAUUCUGAUACAGUAGGUCUGAGAUUCUUUAUUCUGACAAGUUUCUAGAUGCUGCUGGU